UCAUCGUGCGCUCUCUUGUUCCUUGGGCGCUCUCCUCUCUCGCCCUCUGGCUUUGCCAUGCCCUGCUCUGAAGAGACACCCGCCAUUUCACCCAGUAAGCGGCCCCGGCCUGCAAAGGAGGGCGGCAUGCAGCUCCGCUUUGCCUGGCUUUCCGAGCACGCCACGGCCCCCACCCGGGGCUCCGCGCGGGCCGCGGGCUACGACCUGUACAGUGCCUAUGAUUACACAAUACCACCUAUGGAGAAAGCUCUUGUGAAAACGGACAUUCAGAUAGCGCUCCCUUCUGGGUGUUAUGGAAGAGUAGCUCCACGGUCAGGCUUGGCUGCAAAACACUUUAUUGAUGUAGGAGCUGGUGUCAUAGAUGAAGAUUAUAGAGGAAAUGUUGGUGUUGUACUGUUUAAUUUUGGCAAAGAAAAGUUUGAAGUCAAAAACGGUGAUCGAAUUGCACAGCUCAUUUGCGAACGGAUUUUUUAUCCAGAAAUAGAAGAAGUUCAAGCUUUGGAUGACACCGAAAGGGGUUCAGGUGGUUUUGGUUCCACUGGAAAGAAUUAAAAUUUAUGCCAAGAACAGAAAACGAGAAGUCAUACCUUUUUCUUAAAAAAAAAA